rfam:Rattus norvegicus chromosome 15, whole genome shotgun sequence.
GGGGAUUUAGCUCAGUGGUAGAGCGCUUGCCUAGGAAGCGCAAGGCCCUGGGUUCGGAUCCCAGCUCCG